rnacentral:lncRNA from 1 species
UGUUCAAAAGUUUUUCCGAUCCAUUAUAAUGACUUGAUCGGUCACAUCUCAUGUUCUCAGUUCGACUGACGAGUCGGUUUCAAGUUGAAAACACUGUGAAAUUCUGGCACGUUAGUCUUAAGAUGUUCUACACGAUGUUCCAACAUUAGAUAUAGAGAUAAACAGAUGUUGAAUACUAUGGUCAGAACAUUAAGCUAACAAAUAUACAAAUAACAAAAAUAAACGACAGGAAAGAAAAAUGGCACAGUGAGUUUGUUAACCCAUUCAUAAUAUUACUCUAGGGGCUACCAAACCAGGAAGGAAAUCCAUUAGUGUAUUCCUUAUUUAAUAGUUCUCAGCAAACUCCUCGUUUGCACUAAUGUCCUAGGACCUACCCGUACUGACUUUAACCUAGGUGUAACGCCCCGGAUUUUGAUCCAAGACAUUACGCCUAAAUCAUUUUCCUUUUCUGAAAAACACUACUAUUUAUUUAUUUCAUCAAUAAUAUAUUCUAGAAAAACUUAUACAAAAUUCUUAACAUGAUGUAAUUAAAACUCUUAAACUUAAAUCCUUCAAAAAUUUCUACCUAAGUUACAAUUCAAUCAAAAACCCAAUUUCGUCCCCCGUACGCACUUCAAGCAAGAACUUCAAUGCAUAGAUCAUCUCUUCUUUGGUACCUAAAAUGUUAGUGUAAGGGUCAAUUUCCUUAUCCAAAUUGGUUCAUACUCAAAGCACAAGAACAAUGCCACAAAAUAGAUAGUAUCAAAACUUCUCAAUCAAAAAGAAAUAAGAAAAAUACAUUUAAGUCUUUAAGGUAAAGUUCAUACACAUUUCUUUUGUAUAUAUAACAGUUUAAUCACUUAUCAACACACAAAUGUAUAACAGACUCAAUCCAAUGCAAUGAUGUGUAAAAUGCAUGCUCUUAGAUACUACAUGAUCCGGAUAUAUCCCGCCACACAGGCACCACACAGAAAUAACCCGCCACACAGGCACCACACAGAUGCAUAUGCUAAUGCAUGAUCAUGAAAAUGAAGAUUAAAUCCCGCCACUUAGGCACAACAAUGCAAUAUGAUGUUAUCCCGCCACUAAGGCACCACAAAGAAAUAUAUUAUUAACCCGCCACUAAGGCAAAUGCAUAGUCAAAUAAAAUACCCACGACUAAGACAAACUCAUAGGCAAAUACAGUCAGAUAUUAACACAUCAUCAUGCACAUGAACCAAAAUGAAAUAUUUUCAUAAAACUCAUAUUUCUAUAUUUUCAUUUAUUUAGUUUAUCAACAAAGUCUAACACUUCUUUAACAAUACCACAAAAACAUAUAUGCAUAGAAAAAUAAAAUAAAUGUCAUUCCACAUAACAUUAUCAUACACACAUCAUAUAAAAUAUAAUUAAACUAAUAACUUUUAUAAAAAGUUAAAAUUUACCAUAUGAAUUCAUAUUUUAGUUGUUUUGUUCUUUUCAACAGACAAGAAUCUCUACCUCUAAUUCAUAACACAAUCCUAGUACUUAGUAAGAACGUACGGGGAAAAGCCCUUACCUUGCAUGUUUUCCUUCCUAAUAGCACACUCUAAUCCCAUAAAACUGCCUACGUUUGCUCAAAGCUAACGUGCUGUAAAAGAAACAGGGCAUGGAGAUUUGCUUCUGAUCUUAGGAAAAUUCUACUGCAAGAUAUGUGCCAAAAGGGUGUCGAAGGAAUGCUCUAAACUUAGAAAAUAAGUUUGGAUUAACAAGUGAUUAAGAGUGAGGCUGAGAAUUGAUGAGGAUAUUGAAGUAAUAGCAAGAAUAUAUGUGAGCAUUUUAUGAACCACUAAUUGUUUACCACAAUUGAAAUUUAAAAGGGGAAUCAGGACAGUAAUGAGGAAUUCAACAUUCUUUAUUUUUGGGUCAAGGUAAUAAAGUGGAAUUAUUGUUGAUAAUUCCUUGAAGACCAAAGAUGUAUGGUGAUUGAAAACAUUCAAGAGCUUUCCUUUGAUAAUAUUAGAAAGGAAAAACCGUGAAGGGAGAGAGAAGAGAGUAAUUCAUAUUCUUAAAUGAGAUGGAGAGAAAGAGCAGCCCCAGUUUGAACUAAGGGGAGGAAAUCGAUAUUAUACUUGGGCCAUUAAAGAAAACUAAUGUAUAAAUUGAGAGGAGGACACUUUGUGUAAAUAUACAAUAUUGGCAUUUAACAGACACGUUCAAUGACUUUAAGGAAGGAAGAUGAACUUGUAUAAGAAAGAGAAGGCACAAAUGAUCAUGGUCAUGGUCUGUUGAUACUUAAAACGGUUUCCUCUUAUGCCAAAUAUGAAUUGGUU